UUUUAUAGCAUGAAGAAAAAUGAAUCACCAAAGUCUUUCCCUCUUUGUGUUCAAUUGCUCCUUCCUUUUUCAUAAACAUCUUCUCUCCCUUCCCCUCGAAACUCACAAACAAAGCCUAAACUAGUUGCAACCCAUUAUCAACUUAAAACAAACAAUCUUGAAAAGUCGUAGUUGAAUGAAGUCAAAUAGUUAAAGGACCACAACUUUUAUGGCGGGGCAGAUAGCUGUCAGAGCCGCGUCAAUCAAAAUGACAAAACAUGAAAUAACAUGUUUUCUUUCAUUCAAUUCAUUCCUUGAAUUCACCCUUUAAUCUCUUCAUAUAAUUCUCAAUUAAUCAUCCCAAAUCUAUUUUAAUAUCAGAUCUGAAAACCAUGAAAACAGUACACGAUUUAUUUUGCUUUCUUGGGUUUUUUUCUUCUUUGUUCAUCUCUUUCCAUUUUUUGGUUUCUGAGUUUGAAUUAAAUUCGAAUUUGGGGAUUAGGGUUUGAAUUGAAAAGAAUGAAGAAGAAAAGGAAAAAGAGAGAAGAAAAAGAAUUGGAAUGAUUAAGAUGAUGAAGGAGGAGAGAAGAAGAGGCGCUAGAGGAGAAGAGGGAGAAAAAAAUUUGGAAUUUUUAAUUUGAUGUUUUUCAUGAAUUCUGGUGUUUUGAUGUUGUUGUUGUUGGAUUCCUAUUGUGCGUGCUGCUAUGUGUUGUUGGAGAAGAUUUAGGAGAUUGUUGUGUUCUUUUUGUUGUUAGUGAUGAUGAAGGUGAAAAAAAAUUCUAGGUUUAAAGGGAGAUGGAGUAAAAGAGUAAGGAAAAAAAAUCUGGAAAAAUAAUGAUAGAAGGAGAUUGAAAAUAGAGUGGAGAAG
rnacentral:lncRNA from 1 species